CCACGCCAAAUGCUUCCGUCGCCGGGGUGAAACGAAAGCGGCAGGGCAACCAUGCCGUGCAUGGAGUCAGGCCCCUUCUGACUGCGGGCGCCAUUCUUCCUCCCGCGUACAGCGGUGCUGUCUCACGGGCCGGCUCGAGGAUGGGUGCCUCCUCCACCCCCUCCAUCGAAUGGGCGAAAUCACAAGACAAGGGCUCGAGGAAGGGCAAGGCUCCGGCGGCUUGACGACGGAUGCCUCCUCCACCCAAUCUGGCGGCCCAUGUACCCCGCAUUCCCUUAAACUCCACAUGCGUCCACAAUAUGUUUGAGCAAACACCGAAGAGAUUGUUGGAGGAGAACGAGGUGAACAUCAUGAAUGCUCCACUUGGCACAUUCGAUUCUGCCAUGGAAGCCAACGUCAAAGCCGAGGUGGAAGAGGAGGAUGACGAAAAUAAUGAUGUAGAAGAGGUUGAGGAGAAGGGGUUCGAUGCUACCCAAGGAAGAUUUGGAAAAUGAAGCAACAAUUACAUAGAGAUGGAUGAUUUUUGUUUGGUGAGAUUUUGUAAGUGUGUGUCACUUGAUGAAGUUGCCACCGGUGUUCAACCGGCAAAAAAUAUUGGCAAUUCAUUGAGGACAAGUAUCAUAAGCUCAUGGACGUCACAUCUUCAUGUUCAUUGAAAUCACUCGAAGGCCAUUGGGAUGUGAAAAAAACAAUGUGCCCGUUGGAGUGGUUGCUUGGAGCAAGUGUGGAAUGCAUGGUUUGUGAUUGAUGACUA